rnacentral:rRNA from 1 species
UACGUAGGGUGCAAGCGUUGUCCGGAAUUAUUGGGCGUAAAGAGCUCGUAGGCGGUCUGUCACGUCGGACGUGAAAAUCCAGGGCUCAACCCUGGACCUGCGUUCGAUACGGGCAGACUAGAGUUCGGUAGGGGAGACUGGAAUUCCCGGUGUAGCGGUGAAAUGCGCAGAUAUCAGGAGGAACACCGGUGGCGAAGGCGGUUCUCUGGGCAUGUCCUGACGCUGAGGAGCGAAAGUGUGGGGAGCGAACAGG